rnacentral:rRNA from 1 species
AACGAACGCUGGCGGCAGGCCUAACACAUGCAAGUCGAACGCCGUAGCGAUACGGAGUGGCAGACGGGUGAGUAACGCGUGGGAACAUACCCUUUGGUUCGGGAUAACUCAGGGAAACUUGAGCUAAUACCGGAUACGUUCGCGAGAAGAAAGAUUUAUCGCCGAAGGAUUGGCCCGCGUCUGAUUAGCUUGUUGGUGUGGUAACGGCGCACCAAGGCGACGAUCAGUAGCUGGCUGAGAGGAUGAUCAGCCACAUUGGGACUGAGACACGGCCCAAACUCCUACGGGAGGCAGCAGUGGGGAAUAUUGGACAAUGGGCGCAAGCCUGAUCCAGCCAUGCCGCGUGAGUGAUGAAGGCCUUAGGGUUGUAAAGCUCUUUUACCUGGGAAGAUAAUGACGGUACCAGGAGAAUAAGCCCCGGCUAACUUCGUGCCAGCCGCCGCAGUAAG